GAGGAGCCACAGGAGACAAACCUAGAUCGGGAGCAUGAAACCAGGUUCUAGAAGACCACGGAUGUCACACACUAUGGCUGUGUUCUUAGAUUGGAUCCCAGGUUCCAACGCUGUGGCUGGCCUUAGAGAAGCAGAGGGGCAGGAACCCACUGCCAGGACCUGGACAGACCCAACCUUGUCCUCCCUGGAUCCCACAGGCCCCUCUUCCCUGCCUCUCCCUGAUGCUGGCGGCUCGGGGAUGCUGCUGAGAGAGGCUGGUCCCCAGCUCUGAGAGGCUUCAAGGCAUCACCAUGGAGACGCUCCAGGCCGCCAGCCACACAAAAGGAGCUGUGAGUUCCCCAGCUCACCUGGGACUCCGAGCUAACGAGGAGGUUGCCCUCCAGAUACAGUUAUCAAAAGUUCCUCCAGCAAAGAAGCUACUUCUGGCUCCAUGGAGCCGCCUCCUGGUCCCUUGACGGGAAUACUCUUGACCGCUCUGUUGGUGACCGUGACAAACCCCAGACAAACCCCAGCACCUAAAGCUCAAGGCAGAGAAGCAAGGAUCUCACAGGCUAAGAAAUACACCUGCCUUCUGAUCCAGAGUUCCAUUUAAAGGAUUACGCUAUAAAAGCCUUACUUAUCCUGCAAAAAGACAAAUGCAUAAGGAUGUUCAAUUCGGCAUUGUUUAUAGUAAUAAAAAAUGGAAACUCAUAAAUAUCCAUGAACGAGGCAAUCUAUGAAAUCACCGUGGUACAGACACACAGUGGGAUACUACAUAUCCAUUAAAAAGAAUGAAGUGGAAAAGCAGACUGCCAUGAAAGCUCUCGAAGACACAGUCAGUAAAAAAGUAAGCCACAAAACGAUACACUCAGUGUAUUUAAAAAACAAUCUGUGUUUGCGUGGGCGGAUACACGGUUUCAAAUAAAAUAAUGUAUGUAAAAAAACUG